UAUAUAUAAUAUGUAUAGCGUUGAAGUACCAGAUAACGGGAUUGUAUAACCCUUGUAUGCAAACCGGCAAAGUAGUGCCAAUCGGCAACUCUGUUCUAUGCAAUAAAAGAUAAAUAUCGGCCCAUAAGUAUCCCUGAAAUACACAGAAGUCCUAAUGAAUUAGUACAUUCAAUUUAAUUGUAAUCAAUUGAUCAUUUAGGGCUCUUGAUUUUUGUUGAAUCGGCCAUUCGGUAUGUUCCAUUGGGUGUGUGCCGAUUCUUGGCCAAUCCUGCAGAAUGGUUGCAUGCCACUGUGACACCAGAGGUACAUAAUCCUAAAUGCAUCUAAACGUGUGGUAUACGUCUGUGCAUGCACCUGUCGUAGCCAUUUUUGCAUCGGCCAGCGUCGAAUGUUUCCCAUGUCCUCGCGACAUUGCUGCGUAGAUGUCGGAGGCUAGUGUGAAUUUCGGCACAGGCUGUGAACUGGUUUAACAGGGAUAGGCGGGCUAGUUGGUGGUCGAUAUUGGAAUGCAUCAUGUAACCGCACAAAAACAAGGGACAAAGAAGGAACACACAAGACAGGCGCGGAAGUAUGAGAAAUCCAUGAGACUGAAGUUGUGGCCUUUGUGGUGGAAUAACAUAAACCUUGUGUGGAAUUAGACGCUCCACAGUAGGAAAAUAAAACACAUUUCCACUCAUCGUCGCUGUGUGCGUGGCAAUUGACGGCGCGCUUCAUUUCGUCUUCACCUCAGCUUCGCGUCGCAUAAAUUCCAAGAUAUGCUUAGGAUCUGCACGACCUUGUUUCCAUGUGACAGGCAUUACACAUAUUUAAGCGCAAAUGCGGGCCAACUGAGACACUGCCGGUUGUAGAACAGCGCGACCACACCGAAAACAAAAUUCUACUCCGAACAAUACCGGCCAUUGACAUUUUGUACUUUAGUACUUUUCAUAAGCCGUGGUUGUUCUUAAGUUUAUAUAUAGGCUGCGUCUUUUAUAUCAAAAUCACCAGCUGAUAAGUAGUGCAAGCAUUCAGUCUGUUCUUCGCUUUGCUACUCCAGACGCCACGCUAUCCUACUGAAUGUUUGACUCGUUGUACUUGGUAUGUACUUGUACUUACCUUUUCGUAAACAUAAAACAUGAUGAAAAAACAUGCUACUAGUGCUCGUUGUUACUGGUGUGCAAGAUAAUACUGACAAUGCAUAAUUGGACUAAUACAAGUGAAUCAUACAAGCAUGGCGCAAUUUUCUAAAGAAGUUCAAAGUUUCUUACAAUCAUUCCUGCCGCGAACCUCACCUGACUGGAACCAUCUUCCCACUUAACUUGUAGGCCUUCCUAAUUAGGAACAGUUCCGUGAAGCCUUAGCUAAUUUUAAUACAGGGGCCAUUUAAACACUCAUACAACCAACUGUACUUGUCUUCUUCAUUCUUUGGGUAUUUACCACUCGCCCUCUGUAAUGUCCUUGGCCAUGAGGGGUAUAAUAAAUGAGAUGAAAUGAAAUUCGUCACAAAGUCGGCAGACAUUACGUUGGGAAAAUUGCACGCCAUGUUAAGCAAAUGUUGAAAGAGCGUAAGUCAAUUGUCAGGAGAAUAUGCAAGUAGUGUUCAACUGGCAGACAUACGGUUGUCACAUAAAAUCGAAGGAAAUCAAAACCUUGGAUAUUUAGAGGAGUCAAUUACGGCGAGAGAGAUAAUGGAGGUAAAAACUUAUGUUGGGUUCUUGUGUGUUAGCAUCACAUGACAUUGGUUUUUGUCUCACUUGAGGAAUUGUGGUAUCAUGGAGUGGAUGGCCUGAGCCAUUUUGCACAACCUAAAAUUUUGUGCUUCAUUUUUUCUUUUUAGUUUUUAGCUGUGAUGAGACAGUAUUGACUUUCGCCUUUCCCAGAAUGAUUCGUUUGUUUGGAGUUGGUAUAUCUGCGUGGGCUUCGCUUGCAUGCGCCUGUUUUCUUGUUUUGCUGUCCAUCAUUUAUGGCCCAUCAGCCCAUUAAUACCUUGCUAGAAAACAUCAAAGCCCGUAACUUCGCAUUUCUGCUAGCGUUGCUCUAUAUGGGACUAUGUAGGUGAAGUGGAAAAUAAAUAUGUAGGCCACUUGGAAAGAACUGGAAAGAUACCGCAAAGUAACCAACCCUAAGUCCUCUACAGCUAGUCUUAAAAUAAUGGCGAAAUUCUUUUUCUCCCACAGGUGGCUACAUAAUUGAAUCCAUAGUUUUGCUCAGCGUUAAUGACGAAAUUCCAAUCCCCUCAAGUGCACAUACGGGUUCUGUAAGUGCCACCAUGGACGACUUUCUGGUUACGCAAGAAGUAAUAGAACAAGCAACUGACCGUUUGCAAAAUAAUUCAAGUCCUGGCUCUGGUGGUAUCUGCCCCAAACUGCUCAAGCUCACUAUAGCAACAUUAGCCCGAAUUUUUAGUGCAUUAUUUCAGAGGUCUAUUUACACAGGUUCCACGUCUGAUGCAGGGAAAAUUGCUUGUGUCGUAGUUGUAUUUACAUCUGGAGACCAUUUUUCCUUCAUAAAUCACUGGCCUAUUCUAUAACUAGCAUACCCUGAAAAUACUUGAACACCUAAUUUCUAAUGCAAUAUUGAAGUGCUUGCAUCGGCAGAACUUUCUUCUUUUUAUCAAUCUUGCAUGGGUUCUUGCGUGGACAUUUCUGGUGGUCAGUUAUUUGACCUGACGGCCAAGAUUUAUGACACUGUACGCAGUUUAAUUAGAAUAGACGUAUUCAUCGACGUUGAAAAAGCGUUUGACAAGGUGACUCAUGAUCUUAUAAUGAAAAUGGACAACCUUCGCGUAAGCAGGAACGGGAUGAACUGGAUUGUUAAUAUUCUAGGUAACCGACAGCAGUUGGUUUCUGCAAAUGAAUCUUGCUCCGCACUGAAAUCUGCAAAAUACAGUGUGCUUCAGGGGACGGUGCUUAGGCCUGCCCCGUUCGGUAUUUACAUUGACAUAAGCAAUAAACUUACUUCCACUGCCAGGUUAUUUGCUGAAAACAGUGUUAUUUACCGAAAGAUUAAUCUUGAUGAUACUAAUUCCCAGCAGUCAGAUUUUGAUGAACUCGUUAAGUGGUGCGAAAAAUGGCAGAUGGCCAUAAACACCUCUAAAACAAAAGCCAUGACAAUUAUCAAGACCACUGUCCCCCAAACUUGCUUUUACUCUAUUAGUAAGGUCGCCAUUGAAAAUGUGUCCGCAGUAAAAUUUCUAGGCAUUCACAUUUUUUUAAACUUGACGUGGCACCAGCACAUUGAUUACAUAGGUAGCAAAGCGUCCAGAACCAUCGGUUAUUUUUUUCAGGUGCCACUUGUACUCCGGAAACCAAGCAACUAAAUUUUAUGACACGUUACUUUCGUUAGACAGCAACUGGAAUAUCCCGCUAUCAUUUGGAAUCGGCAUCAAGAAUACCUUGCCAACACGCUAUAAUCGUUAUAGAAUGAGGCUGCUGGAUUUACCACGAAAAAAUAUUCUCGUUACUACAGCCUAGCGAAGUUAAAUAAUAUCUAAACUUAUGCAUCCUCCAAAAAAGCCUUGUUACACUACUACGUCACUUUUGCCGACUAUAUUAUAAUCCCUCGGCAUUCACAGAAGCCCGUAUCAAACCGACCAUUCGCGUCUUUCCCCGAUUAGAUCACCCUUUUAAGGUACAGCCAAAGGUCGUCCGUACUAAGCUUAUGCAGCAGUCACCGCUAUUCCUUGCCAUAUACCAUUGACACAAACUGCCAGCUGAAAUUGCUUCCGAGGACAAUCACGAUGCUUUUGUUAAUGAACUGGAGUACUGGAUGCAUACUGGCACGUAAUAGUGUUUUGAGGACCUUUAGUUUUACUUUAUAUUUCAAUCUUUUAUUUGUAUAUCUCAAUUUCGUAUAUGUAAUCUGGUGUCUUGUAUUAGUAGCGCUGCUAUGUAUAUUGUUAAUUCAUGACGUUUUUUCAAACCCCUGUGUAAUGCCUAUAAAUGAGCCUUUAAGUUACAUGAAUAAUAAAAAAAUGGAAUAACUGUUAUUGAUGCGCGGACGGCCUGUGGGUCGCGAACAACUAGGGCGAUCUCUUUCGUAGGCGAUCACACCAGCUCUGUGACAGUAUGUGUGUGUACGGCCGAAAGCGUUUCUCGCUUUGCGCUAAGAUCGCCAUCUGAUGAUGUGCGGAAUAGUUAAAGGUUUCGUGUCCUCUUCCCUUUCACCGUGGUGCUCACAUGCGCAUGCGAUGUCUUUUAUUUUUCAUUCCUGCCGGGAACGAACGGCACGAGAUCGACAUGUUCGUGCCGUGCACGCAUCUGUCGGGGCAAAGACGAUGCUGGCCUUUCGUGCGUCAUCACCGGAUCAAGCAUGGGAGGCAGCACGGUGGCCUACUAUUCCAGCCAAGCCAGCAAGGCCACCGCCAUCGCUCUUGGUUCAAACAACGCGGAGGCGGACAGACGGACCAACUUCGGCUUCCUAGCAGACGAGAUCGGCCAGAUCGUGUUGGGAACCCAUCUGUAAAGCAAAGGCGGUGCUGGGCUUUUGAGGAUCAGGGUCUGCGUGGGAAGAAGUACAGUGCCUGACUAUACUAGUCGUACCAGCAAGCUUCUCGGUGUCUUGGUCCUAACCUGCGGUACUGGUGGCCAGCAGUUCUUACGCACUUGUAUCUUGCUGCCGGCCCUGGGGACCUGGUGACCAGUUCAAGCGGCUUGAUGUCUUGCCA